UGACGUGUCGAAAAUAUAACGCA
rnacentral:siRNA from 1 species